UACGUAGGGGGCAAGCGUUGUCCGGAAUUAUUGGGCGUAAAGAGCGUGUAGGCGGUCCGGUAAGUCGGCUGUGAAAGUCCAGGGCUCAACCCUGGGAUGCCGGUCGAUACUGCCGGACUAGAGUUCGGAAGAGGCGAGUGGAAUUCCCGGUGUAGCGGUGAAAUGCGCAGAUAUCGGGAGGAACACCUAUGGCGAAGGCAGCUCGCUGGGACGUUACUGACGCUGAUGCGCGAAAGCCAGGGGAGCGAACGGG
rnacentral:rRNA from 1 species